rnacentral:rRNA from 1 species
AGUGAACGCUGGCGGUAGGCCUAACACAUGCAAGUCGAACGGCAGCACAGUAAGAGCUUGCUCUUACGGGUGGCGAGUGGCGGACGGGUGAGGAAUACAUCGGAAUCUACUUUUUCGUGGGGGAUAACGUAGGGAAACUUACGCUAAUACCGCAUACGACCUACGGGUGAAAGCAGGGGAUCUUCGUACCUUGCGCGAUUGAAUGAGCCGAUGUCGGAUUAGCUAGUUGGCGGGGUAAAGGCCCACCAAGGCGACGAUCCGUAGCUGGUCUGAGAGGAUGAUCAGCCACACUGGAACUGAGACACGGGCCAGACUCCUACGGGAGGCAGCAGUGGGGAAUAUUGGACAAUGGGCGCAAGCCUGAUCCAGCCAUACCGCGUGGGUGAAGAAGGCCUUCGGGUUGUAAAGCCCUUUUGUUGGGAAAGAAAAGCAGCAGGUUAAUACCCCGCUGUUCUGACGGUACCCAAAGAAUAAGCACCGGCUAACUUCGUG